AACGAACGCUGGCGGCAUGCCUAACACAUGCAAGUCGAACGAGAUCUUCGGGUCUAGUGGCGCACGGGUGCGUAACGCGUGGGAAUCUGCCCUUUGGUUCGGAAUAACAGUUGGAAACGACUGCUAAUACCGGAUGAUGACGAAAGUCCAAAGAUUUAUCGCCAGAGGAUGAGCCCGCGUAGGAUUAGCUAGUUGGUGUGGUAAAGGCGCACCAAGGCGACGAUCCUUAGCUGGUCUGAGAGGAUGAUCAGCCACACUGGGACUGAGACACGGCCCAGACUCCUACGGGAGGCAGCAGUGGGGAAUAUUGGACAAUGGGCGAAAGCCUGAUCCAGCAAUGCCGCGUGAGUGAUGAAGGCCUUAGGGCUGUAAAGCUCUUUUACCCGGGAUGAUAAUGAUAGUACCGGGAGAAUAAGCUCCGGCUAACUCCGUGCCAGCCGCCGCAGUAA
rnacentral:rRNA from 1 species